rnacentral:misc_RNA from 1 species
AAAAAUUAAAUAAAAAUAAAAAUAAAAAAAUAAAGAAUAAACAGUGAACCGAAUCUAUGUGCAAUGCUCAAUACACAAUUUCAUUCUUUUCCAGCAUUACAAAAAUCAUGAAUACUUCCCUGACACAGCAUGGAAGACUGGGAAUCACAUUGUACAGUAUCAAAAAGCACAUUGCUCUAUCCUAACUAUUUUUAUAAUUCAUCUUCUACUUUGUACAAGGAAAAUUAUAGAAUCUGAGAACAGUGUAAAUGAACUCAACUGGUAUUAAAAACUUUGGAUGAUACAAGUAAGCAAUUAUCUUACCAGUUCUUUAGAUAUCAGAUACCGAAAAGUAAAAUUGUGAGGAAUCCAUUCAAUGCUCUUACGAGGCUUUCCAAGCUGACUUUUCUUAAUACAAUUCCUUAGAGAUACAGGGAAUGUCUGUUGGAUCAUUUCAAUAACACCAGCCUGACACAAACCUGAAUCCUUUGCAAAUGAUUCCACAAUCCUGGGAAGUAGAAUUUUCUGAUCUUUGCGUACACCAAAUGUAGCUCGGAUAUACUCAUCUUUUGCAGCUUCUAGCUCUAGAAAUACUCGCUUCGAGGUAUAAACACGCACCUGGAAAAAAAAUUGCAAAUUUAUAUAAAUCCUGUCUGAAAAAUAUAAAGUAGAAAAUGUGUCCAACUUUACAAGCAGUAAUAAUGGAGGAAGGAGUGAACCCCAAUUUUCAUCUUUUUUGAGACUGAUAUCUCUUAAACAAUGUAAAGUAAUAAAAAGGAAAUCAACCCUUGUAAAAAUUUUGAGCACACAGAUGAUCCAUCAAUGGAGUUAACCCCCAUGACACAUGCCAUGCAAACGUAUAGUAUUUACUUAGUUUGGCGAUUCCAUUAUCUUUUGCCUGUGGAGAAAAUUUUAGAAGCCAAUUCUGCACCUCAACACAUUUUUAAGUACUUCUCAUCUUAAUAAAAACAUUAAAAGAAAUUUGAGGAUUAAGUACCGCAGGAUCAGAAUGGCUUCCUGAACAGAGUGCAAAGUGCAAAAGGGGUUCUGGAUUUUCAAUUGCAUAUGCUUGUCUUUCAUCUCCUGUCUUAAAUUUUGAUCUAGAUGAAAGUAAUAGUCGAAGCCACUGUCCAGGACGAGACAUCCGGCAUCCAAGGAUAGAAUUCUGUACUGUGUCUGCACUAAUUGUAAAACCCCCAACAUUAUAAGCAGCCUUCAAGAGCAGAAAAAGUCUCUUCACAUUGUUUUGCGGAAUUCCAUAAGCCAGAUAUGCCUAUAGAAAAACAGCAAAGAUUAUGUUCUACUUUCACUCACAAGAACAGAAACAGAACCAGAAUUAGCAGAAAGGAGUCAAUACUUAAAGCAAAAAUAUUUCUAUUAAAGAGAACCAUUACAUGCAUCACUAAUGCAUUGUGUAUGUUGAUCCAGAAAGCUAGCUUCUCCUCAUGUUUCAACUUCCUAGGGUCAACAUCUUCCAGUCGACAGAUAAGUGAUCUGUAAUUUUGCAGCAAGUGUUCAACAUCUCCCAACUUCUGACUAUCUCUAUAAAUCCAUGGCACUUCAACCAUUGUACUGUAUGGUCCACUAAAUUCUUUCAGUCCUUCAACAAGGAAAGGGUUAUCCAGCCGUACAUCAAAUGAUGAAUUAUUCCUGAACCCUGGACUCCACACAUCACAUUGAUCCUGAGGGGAAAAUGCGCUCACUGACGACAAAGAUGAAUUGGGAGAUGAAAGGCCAUUAUGUGUCAAAGGUGAGUCUGAAAGUUUGCAAUAUAUAGCAGACAUGCACUUGAUCAUAUCCUCAGAAAGCUUGUUAGGUGUCUCCGGAACAUGAUCAGAAAUGCGUGUUCCAAGAUGCUCAGCCAAACUGAUUAUAUUUGUUGCAUUCUGAGCAUACUCCAUCAUGGACAAUGGCUGGGAAUGGCAGGCACGUACAGCUCUUCCUAAAGACUCUUCUGGAGUAGCUCUAUUUGGAAAUGUUGAACGUUGUGAUAAUGAAGAGUGACAGCGAUGAACACCAGAAUCUAAUAGAUUUUCUUCUCCUCCAAUACCACUGGAUUCCUUCCAUGGGUUGUCAUGUGACCAACAACCAGAUUGAACAGCCAAAGUUUCUCUCUUCGACAUUGGUUCAAGUCUGGAAACAUCCAAGAAUCUCCCUCUUGGUGUUGUCAGAGGUGAUUUUGAUCUUUCGUGCUUGCCAGAUGGAGAAACUGGGGAUAUUUGUUGAUCAAAAGCUUUCCGGUACAAGGAAAGAAGAUAUUGCUCCAAAUAUACAACUUCCAACUCUAACACUGCGAUUUCCUUUAUUAAUUCUGUGGCUGGCUUGGGCAUUGACAUUUCUGGAGCAUUAUCAUGGGAGGAAGUCCUAUAACCAAGUGCUUUUUCUAGCACGCGACGGACCUCAAACUGAUCUUGUAAUCUUUUUUCAAGCUGUAGAAUCUCUUCCUUCAAAGAAACCUGCACUUCGGUCUUAGGGUAUUGUUUCUUCUUGGUUUUGACAGAGUUCUUCAAGUGCCCCAUAUCCAGCUUUACGCGGUGUGAUGCUUCAAAGGAUUUAUCUACUCCAUCUUCCUCGAAUCUUUUCUUAUCUGGGAAGCGUUUAUUGGAGGUGCACUUAGCAAUUAUUUUCCCAAGCCUCAUCGUAAAAAAAUCUCCCGUUACUUUCAACACGACUUUAGUCAUUGCUGGCAGAUCAGGGAAAAACAAGAGGAAAGUUUCAAGAAACACAAAAAAGUUCCCCUAUAUUAUAAACUGAGAACACUGAAGAUUUCCUGCCUUAAACCCCAUUUUGAAGAGGUUCCUGACAACUUAAAAAAACACCCCAUUGUCCCUCUUUCUUGAAGCUCUUAAUUUCAUCAGGACCAUAAAUCAAAUCAUUCAUGGCUCUCUCUAGUUGGUAAGUAGUGACCCAGUGCCACAACCAGGAGGCUAAAUCCAAAAUGUUUAUACAAUUGUACUUGCAUUAUAGCUACUUGUAAAACCAAGCCUGUGUAGCUGUGAAUGCACAAGUUUCCAUGUUAAUCAAUACUCCCGGAACAGAAAAAAUUCCAGUUAGAGGAUACCAUCAAUUAAACACCACAAGUGAAC